GUACGAUGUAAAAGUCUCGUAAAGACGCUGAGCGCCCCCCCACCUCUUCUCCUUCCCUCUCUCUCUCUCUCUCUCUCUCUCUCUCUAGUCAGUCCAAACAAACGACUCUGUCCAAACAAACGAUCCCAAGAGUCUAAAGUCUCGUAAAGGCGCUGAGCGCCGCCCCCCCUCUUCUCUCUCUCUCUCUCUCUCUCUCUGUCUCUCUCUCUCUCUGUGUGAAGUCAGUCCAAACAAACGAUCCCAAGAGUCUGGAUUCUCUCUGUCUCUGACUCUGACCCCUACCUUCCCCAAGAGUCGUUUGACCUUUCCUUUUUAUAUUUUUUAUCCGGAAUAAUGUUCGAAUUUCAUUUUAUUUUCAUUCCCAACACCAAAACAAAAUACCAAGAAAAUGAAAGGUUUCUGCAAUUUCAUUUGUCGGUGAAAUUCCAGGCCUCCGGCAAUCGAAUCAUUCCAUUUGCAUCAUUGAACUUCUGGUUUGACUCUUUCCCUCUCCCCAAAAGAAAAAAACCAAGGGUCCAUCAGGUUGAUAAGAUGAACCGACCAACUGCGUGAAACAACUACAAAAGAUACAGCCAAGAGGAUAGUGUUGAUAUCACUUCUGAAUUAUUGAGGGUGUGUUUGGCCAAAUAUACACGAGGAAGUGGCACUCUAGAAAGACGGGAAAGAAUGAUGGCAACAUUUUGCCAUGGAAGAAGAAACAAUUAACACAAAAACUGGGGUGGAGUACCAUUUUCUCUGCAUAUUUUUACAUCCCAUAAAGAUGGAGAGAAAUCAUUUUAUUUUUGCAUAAGCCAUCUUCAUCUGUUUCAGGCUUCUGUCUCUUACUUGUAUCCUCGUCAUACAUUGAUUCUAGGUAUGCUUUUAUGCAUUCCUGUCUGCUCAAUGCCACUGCUUCCUUUGCCAUAAUUGAUUUUCUUUGGGAUGUACUGAAGGAUUGUAAGUUCAGUAUAAUGGGGGUCCUACAUUGGCCAAUGAUGACUACUGCAUGGAUUGCCUUGGCCCUUGUUGAUGGAUCUUGAACUGUGGUGUUUGGUGAUGGCUAUAGGGAUCUAAGAACAAUAAUGAAGCAAAUUGCAAAUAAGGCAGAUCAAGGGAACUGUGUGGAUGGAGCGUAUUACAUAUCUAAAACAUGGUUGCAACUGUAGUUAAAAACAAAAGAAAAUCGUUGAUGAAGUCGAUGCAGGAGUGACAGAGAUUCUCAGGAACCACGAAAGCUUUAUCAGGCAUAAGUUGCCCAUGAGGACACCUACUUGAAACCGUCAGUCCUGCAUCGACUGACAGUCCUAAUUGCUGGUAAUUAUUAGUGUCAUACUAAGAUUGACUGGAUUUUUGUUUGAAUAGCAGUUAUAACGACUCUUGGCUUUUGUAUAAGCCAUUCUCAUGCAUGGAUUCUUAACAAUAUUGCUUUAUACACUCCUUGAAUGAAGACUCUACCAGAGAAAAUAUGAAACGUAUUCUAGCAGAUUACUGUCUUGCUUUUUCAAACAAACUCCUUGUAUUGUAUUGGGUUUAGUUUGAUGCUCACGUGGAUGUUGCUGGCUUCAGCCUGCCUAACCUUGUCAAUGUCAUCAUGGCUUUAAGGGUCCUUUAUACAUAGAUGUUUUUGUACCUAUGUGAAGGAUUGGCUGAUCUCUCGUGUGGGCAUUAAUGUAUAUCUUAAGCGUCAAAUGUUACUGAUC